rnacentral:rRNA from 1 species
GACGAGGGGUCCUAGCGUUGUUCGGAAUCACUGGGCGUAAAGCGCAUGUAGGCGGUCUUCCAAGUCAGGUGUGAAAUCCCAUGGCUUAACCAUGGAACUGCAUUUGAUACUGUUAGGCUUGAGUACGAGAGAGGGUGGUAGAAUUCCUGGUGUAGUGGUGAAAUACGUAGAGAUCAGGAGGAACACCGGUGGCGAAGGCGGCCACCUGGCUCGCUACUGACGCUGAGAUGCGAAAGCGUGGGGAGCAAACAGG